CUGUUGAACUCGAUGAGAAGAAUUAUUCCUAAAUGUGGACAGUCUGUCUUGCAGUAAAAACUGAUGUGCACAGCCAGAUAGAGAAUGAUUUUGUUCUGCAGUUUUAAGUACUUACAGACAUGUUUUUGAUCCACAUACAUGUGACUGGGUCACAACUAACCCCAGCAACUUUGUAUGGCACAUACUACUGAACUGUACAACUUUUGUGCUGCUGAGGAGCUUAGUUCAGUUGGUGGGAGAAAUCUUAUUACCAGAUUCUUAGCUCUUAGAGAGCUUUCUGUUUUGCUGGAUCCAGAUGAUCACGCAGUGCAUUCCAUGGUAAAUGCUCUUCCAAAGUUUUCCAGCCUACUACCAUCAGAUGAAUAAAAGUAUUUAGUGCCUUUCAGCUGCCAGCCAUGGAACAACUACUUUAGCAAAGGUAGGGAGUAUUGUUUGCCAGAUGUGGAAGCUAAGGCAUAGAAAGUUUAAAAGAUUUCUUCACCCUCAACUGCUGAAUUUUUUUGCUUAGUCAAGAUGCUUUAGAACACAUGUUCUUAAUUGUCUGAAAAUAUUGAGAAGGCAUGUUUACUUAUGAGAAAUACUUAUGGAUUUUCAGCCUAGCAAGAAGAGCAGAUCCUAACAAAUGAGGUCUGCAAUGCUCAUUUUGCCUCAUACACUAUCGUAUGCUGAAGUCGAUGGGCAUUUUAUGUAUACAUGCAGUUGGGUUACAGUGAUUGCUUUUAACCUUUCAAGCAGUUUUUGAUAGAACUAGACACUAGGAACUAUAAGUGUCAGAUGCAAAGGAUAGGUAGUAAUGAAUCUUCAAAAAUAAUGUUGGGUGAAAGAACUGGAAUAAUUUGGCCAUUGCGCACCUGUUGAAACCUUUUCAUGUGAGUGGUACAAAAUUUCACCUUCUGUUCAUAGGUGGUGUACUUUCCCUUCCAUCUGCCUCAACCAGUUCCCUCUGAGUCAUGCACAUUCCUCUUCACACUCUUAGCAAGAAAUUAGAAUGGGAAAGCAUGAAGUGCAGCAGUAAAUCAGCUUCCUAUCUGGCAGCACUACUCACCAGCAGCUGGUUAUGCACAAGUAGCACUCUUUGUUCACUGGUUGCUUUUCAAAAAAAACUUUUUAGAUAGUGUUUGUUGUAUGUACAAUGAACGUAUGGAAUAGAAUCACAUGAGAAAGUGAAUUUUUUUUAAGUCCUCUUUCUUAUAAAAGCCAUAACCGUUGUGCUGUUUGAAAACUGCCUGUGAGGAGACAGAGACAUGAAAAACUGUAGUGGAUAUGACAUGGCUGUGACAAUGAGAAUGAUUUGAUAUGCUCAAUACAGACUUGCCUUGGAGUAAAUCAUCAUAGAAAUCCAGCUUGCGUUCAGUACUAAAGGAAAGUCCUGAAGUCUUGUUUUGCUUUGUAGCAAGCCCGUAGGGUAACAUUUUCAAGAGGUCAGAGGAGACAGAUUGCAGAACUAAGGCUGUACUGCUGAAAAUGCUCCAGAAGUGUCAAUUUUAAAGAACUGUAGCCAUAAUUUAUUCUCUCUUGCUGUCGUCACUCCAAAGGGAAGGAGAAAAAAUGAAUUGGUUUUUCUGUUGUCACAGCAGUAUAGGAGGCAUUAACUUCUGGAAAGCAAAAGGCAGAUUUAACCUUAAAUGCUCCUAUUCACUGAAGUAAGAAAACAGCAAGAUAUCAGCUGUGCAUUAUUUAGGAUCGAAAAUCUUUGGUGCUUCUAAUGAGAAAGGAGGGAAGAUACUCUCAGAAUAAAUACACUUUUAAUUCUGGCAGUAAACAAAUCAACUGCAGAUCAAAGACCCACAGCGAGAAGAAAGAACACUUGAGAUAACGACCUAUUUAUAAAUAACCUGAGGCAACCACUAAAAUGAUGAAACAAUUAAAAAAACUUAAAAAAAAAUCAAUCCCUCCCCUUGGCUAACUAUUAGAAAAACAGGAAAAGAGGUAUUUUGAAGCAAAUUCCUUUCCUGAUGCUGCCGCCCCUGAUAUCAGUGUAUCUUUUUUCUUGAUUAGUACAUGUGCUCAAUAAUCCAUGUGGUCAUGGAUUACCCAUUUGUUUCUGUAUAUCCCAUUGGUGUUAUAGAUAAUGCUGGUCUCAGUGAGAGAAGUACUACCAAUUUACUGCUUCAUACUUCCCUGCUAUAUUAUUUUUCUAUCUUUGUUCAUGUUUUGAACAUCUGAGCUGUGAUCCAUCUGUUACAGAGAUGUUUAUUCUUAGUCCAAGAUGGAAUUUCAAAUUUCUGUUUCUUGGUUACCAUUUUCCUUCAUCCAAGAUCUAUAUAUUUGGACAUAUGAUACUAAGACAUCCUGCAAUUUUAAGUAGAGCAACUUGAAAAAAAAAAAAAGAAGAAUGAACAGUUCUGUCCUCUGAAAUAUCCCUCUGAACACAGCUCAGCUGUAUGUCACAGCUUACUGACAUUUAUUUCAGUGGAUCUGUUCCUGCAAUAGGUCAUCCUUAAUCUAUCAUCUGUACACCAAAUAUACAUUAUUCGUUGUAAAUAUACAAUAUAUGGAAGACUGAUUGUCUCACUUGCUCUAGUAAAGUAGUAUCUUAAGGCUACCAAAGUCAAUGCUUACAGAAGUAGGGCUUUUUGCCCCAGUUCUCUUGUUUGCUAUGCGUCUCUUAGAUUCACUUGUUUGUAUGAAUGAUUGCAACUGGUUGUGGCCUGGUCCUUCACCCAUCUUACUGCUGUAAUCCCACAAAGCUUGUUGAUGAGAAGUCAUGCUAUACCCUUAGGCCCAAUUCUCUGUGAUUUUCAUCCUACUCAAAGGAAAGUCAAAAGGCAGUGCUCUUAUGUAUUUACAAGGCAUGAAUAUUUACAGUAUUUCCUCUAAGCAUGCAGUCUUACCUCCUGGGUACAGGCUUCUCUCUUCUGAUGGCUCAUUGUUUUGUCCUUAACAUAGCUAAACCAUUCCUGUUCUGUACCUCUAAUCUCCAUCUCCAAAAAGCCUCACAAUAAUGAAAGUGUACGUGUGCCUGUCUAUGUUUUGUGGCAAGAACAUCCACCAAAACAUUACUCCGUGCUGUGGAUUUGCCUGGCACAGUGCAGUUCCUCUACAUGCAGAAGGCACUGCUGAGGUGAAGCACUACAGAGGAGCAAAGCAUGAGUCUGACAUAUGGACAGUAAGUCAUGUUUGUGAGCACCAGUGCAGCCUAUACAAAAAGACAGAUUGCACAGUUGCAAGGUAUAAUGAGAGAGAAGGAAUGGGGGGAAUGUCUAAUGUAUGCUGAGCGGAUCCGUGUAAUAAAAAAUCAGUCCUUUGAAAUCACACUGAUAAUGCUGAUACAGGAGGUUGAAGAGACCUGUGAAUUUCAGACUUAUUGGCUUAUUACUUUCAAAAUCUGAAGUAACAUCAUACAGUGUAAGGACUAUAGACAUUCUUCUACGCUGAGCUGCUUCCAGUUUUUUCAGUCCUUUGUUGCUUCAGACUAUAGUUCUCAUACCCUAAUGGCUGAUUCCAAGACAUUCCCUUUUCAGCAGCCUUUUUAAAAUUCCCUGGAGUCUGAGGUCAGCCAGAGUUGUAUAGUCUGCUAACACCCAGAAACCUUUGUAGCUUUCUUCUUUCCCUCUGGGAUUUGCCUUUAUAUGUGAUUCCAGGCUUUCACCAGUGAUACAGCUCCCUGUAUAAUGCUAAUCCAGAAACAGCCUUAUAUUUUGCCCCCUCCUUUUCCUCUAGCUAUUCCAUUUGAGCUGAUAGUGAUCACUGAUGGCUUAGCCCAUUGCUUGUGCUGCAGUUAGCCUCCAUCAGAAGUCCUGCCUCAACAACCACACUCCAUUGGAUAACUGGGGGUGAUACUUACUGACAGCGUAACACCACUGGGGAUUGGAUUAGCCAGGCAUGCAGAAAUGCGAAAGUGCUUGUCUAGCCUAAUGAAAAUACAACUUGGAGAUAGAAAUAGGGCUCAGCUCACCAAUGCCAAUAUACUCUUCUUUUCAAAAUCUUUCCCUGCAUAGGUAUUGGUCAUGUAAUUUGUUUUCACGUUAUUCUUAAAAGUAAGAAAAAGGGUAGGAGAGCUUUGUUUGGAUUGGCGUAUCUGAUCUUCCUCGAUCAGGGUAUGGUGCAUCCUGCAUUUCUUGCAGGUGGAGGCUUUGGAGAACAUGUUCUAAACAGGGCUGUUGUCCCAGCUGUAACUAUGAAAAGAUAAAAGAUAGCUCUGGGCCGGUCUAUUCUGUGAGGAGUGGCUCAAGCAUAUUUUGCAUUGCAACAAAUGAGAGGCAGGAUUUACAGCCAGGCAAAAGUAAUGAAGCUGUUGUUUAUUGAUUAGAACUAGUUUCUGUCUGAAGCUUUUCCGUAAAGCUUGGGACCCUUCUACAGCUAAGAGGCUUUCAUCUACACAAACUGUUCUUUUCUUACCUUAUAAAGAAAAUGAAAAAAAAGUCAUGGAUGCACAGAGCUUGGGAAAUUCAGUUUAGGAGUUGACGAAUCAGUUUAAGAUCAGUGUCAGAUGAAUUUAAUCCAAGAUAAUAAAAUUACACAAACCAAUUUGAUUUAUUCUUCAACCCACUUUACAGUAAACAGACACAGUGUCAGUAGGGUCCUGGAACUUAGUUAUCCCUCUCUAAAAACACCAUCCCUGAACACCCACCUAAAUCCCUUUCUGAACACAUCCUCCGAUCCUGUCAGAGGCAACUGGCUUACCAACAAACAAGAGGAAGCCCAGUGUGCCACCUCGUUAUCAUUAUGUUUUCUCUUCAGGGAAACCAGGAUGACUAAAUCCUUCCAUGAGAUACUAAACUUGGAAAGUUAUUUUAUUUUUAACUCCUGGUGUAGAUAAAUAUCACGCUUUUCUCCAUGUGUGCUGAUUUCUGUGGUGCAUGCACUUAUAUUUACAUAAACAGUUCUGAUUCUGCAAGAUGGAGAAUAACCUUCAUCAAGAGAACUUAAAUCUGCUGAUGGUCAGGUAAGUUACUUCGAUGAAACAUUGAGGGCUAUUUCCUUCAGAAGAUAGAAUAAGUAAAUAAAUAAAAAGAAACCCAAACUUUCCCAGUACCCCCUAUGGCACACUUAUAAUUUAAAAUGAAUUUGUGAGAAUAAAUUGACAGGAACACUUCAACUCAUGGUCGUGAGAACUCUGAGAAAACUUAGUGGAGAAAUCCUUUUUUUCUGCUGGUGAGCAGUUAAUGAAAUGGCUAGAUUUCCUUUUUAUCUUGAACUUACACUUAUUGGCCAUUCCUUCUCAGUUUGUUACUUCUCAGGACUGAAGGAGGGUUGUCCUGCGUGACCUGCUGUAGGGAACCUGCUUUAGCAGAAGGCUGGGCUUGAUGAUCUCUAGGACUCCUUUCCAACCCCUGCAAUUCUGUGACGUUUUUUUCCCAACAAAGCAGCAUGAGAAACUGAAAUUGUGAGUUUAAACAAGGCAGUAUAUUCAGAGCAAUUGCUUUCCUCUUUUUCCAUCUCUAAUUGCUGAAGGGAAAGAGACCUAAUCUAUCAGAGCCAUUUAUCUCAAUCAAUAUAUGUUCCUUCAGUCUCCACAGUUGCAGCAUUCUGCAUGAAUGGUUCCCAUCCAGUAAAUUUCCUUGCAGCCAAAUAGGAAGCCUCAGCUUCAUGCUCAGUAUUGAAUCUCCAUUCCUUACUAAUUGCUUGCGUGUUUCAGGCUGGGGUAAGAAUGGGGGUGUGAACCAGCUGCAUGCAUACAUGCAUGGGGAGAGGAGCAGGUACCUUGGGGGGUCCUGGAGAGACUCUAGGGCACACUGGAAGUCUCUAGGGUACCACGGAAGACACAUGAGAGCUCUGGGAGUCUUGUAGGGAACCUUACAGCACACUGAACAGCUCUGGGUGUGCUCCGGUGUGCUCCAGAGUACACUGAUGGGUCCUGGGAGCCC